GCAAAGUCCUAAUUGUGCUGUAAACUGGGUUAACGAUCCAUUUAACGACACCUGUAAAUUCUGAUCAAAUUACAUUGACAGGUGUCAUUUAGAGGACAAUUGUCGUUCAAAUUCGUUCUUGGAGAUCGAGUAUUUGCUAGUUGGGCAUUCUGUGGGGUUUUUAGUUGGACGACAAAAGAAAGAAAGAAAGACAAACUUUGCUUUACAACUGUGGAGUGCUACCUGAGGCUCUGAGCAAUUUGAUUGUGCCCGUAAUGCUAGGAUAGGUUAUUUGCCAAUUUAGACCACGACUAGUCGGAUUUGAAAGAUGUAAAUUUCGGACUGGACAUUGAGCGCCGCAACAGACUUGUCCCGGAUGAAGAAAUUCAGCGCUACAUUUUAGAGUUCUUUGUCUACAAGGAGCAUUUCUGCAAGUACCAUGGUGUGGAUGAAGUCCAGCAAGAACGCCAGGAUAUGCGGAGACGAAGCUGCGCUGAUGUGGAGAAAGGCUUGAUCAAGAGGCUCGUAGACAAGCAAUGAGGUACAUCCAACUGAAAACUGAUUCAUGGAUGCAGCGUGCAAAGGUUCCAUUGGGUCUCUGUGCAACUUCGGCCAAAGGCAUACAAGAUUACCACACAAGGCGUUCUUCUAAAACAGUUCGAAUGUGAUCUUUGAUUAUACCCUAUUCACAACACCCCUUCUUGAUACCUAUUCCCGGCGCAAAUGUACAUCCUCCAUACCGUUUUUCUAUCUCUGUAUAUUUUCUUUUCUCAAGGCCGUCAUAGAUCAUGUGUUUCUACUUAAACCAAAAAAUGCUCCCGCAAGAAUGGAUUCCGUAUACCCCAAUUAGUAAGAUAGGCAAUAAAUAGUCUUUAUUGCGUGAUUUGGAGAAUGUGUAGGGUUGAGCAAGGCCUUGAAGCACACAACAUACUCAAUACAUGCUUGCAGUGAAAUUUCUAGAAGUUAAAAUAUGUAUAUUUGACAUAACUGAAACCGAUCCCUCAAGACGGGGGUAGCCACUUGGCGCUCGUACCUCGUUUUCGCUACAACGCGACAUGCGAUUUGUGCAUGUUUACUCAAGAAUUUCAGGAAUCAAGUUGCUUACUAAAAAGUUAGUUGUUACUGCAGCGAAUCCCUCCACCGCGUAGCAGGUCGUCCAUGAGGGAUGGCCAACGUCGUCCUAUAACCACAGACUACCAUACCAUGUACGAACCGUCUGAUGCAUUUAAAAUUUAUUAAGAAAACAGAACAAUACAAAUAUAUUAUAAAACUCGUUUGUGUUAUUUUUUUAUUCCUUGGGAAGGCCAUCUGAGGUCGACGGGUCACUGCCUUAAUCUACUAAAUACGGAUUCGAAUCCACCUCUAGCAUUAAAUUAGAACACAGUCGAUUAGAGCACAUCGAUUGCUCAAUCAUGGCUCACGUUGUGUGCCACAACGACCAGUGAUCCCGUUCACUGGUUUACGGUGGCGAUGAGCCACUGAAUAAUAUAUAUAUAAAUACCCAUGUGGCGAUCGUGGACAGCAACUUAUACUAUCCCCCCACAAGAUGCGACCCUCGACGUUGCCAGGCUUCUUCUUCUUCUUCAUCUCUGGAAAGAAUCGGAUCCUGUUCUCAUCCGCCACCCAGGAGGAGGAGCUCGAUGAGGACUCGAUCAGAUUGGAUCAGGCCUCAUGUCAGGUUGCAUCCGAGGAUGGUUGCGAGGGGUGGUCAUUGAUUGAUGGACGAUGACUCACGUUAGGUGCCACCGCGACCAGUGAUAGAACGGACUGACCGUGUUCUUGAGCUCUCUGUGUUUUUUUCGAUUUUUGUUUUGUGUUUUUGUUUUAUUUUAUUUUCGCUAGAGGGAAGUGGGGGUGGGAUCAGGUGCCGUGAGGUCAGGUGGUGACGCAUGGCAGAUGGCUUUGGGGCUUUGAUGCUCCUGAGCUAGAAGGGCCUUUUUCUCGCAAAAGUGAAGAAGGGUGUGUGUGACUUAUCACGUGCUGGAACCCAGAAUCGUGUCUCCUGCCUCAUGGACUUUCUGUCGUGGUUAUGGGGCACAGUUCCCCCUCUCUCUUUCUCUUUCCCUUUCUUCGGUUAUUGGGAUGGGCUCAGAUUCAGCUACCUUCGGCGUCAAGAGAGAGAGAGAGCACCAUGAUUCUCACCACCAUAGCCUCGUGAGAUUUCGCACCAUGCGUCCAGACAACUUGCAUAGCCACGCAACCCACCCCCACCCCCACCACCAUUUCGGCUCCGUCUCUGCCCAAUUUCAUAUUUAGAAGUUUUAUGAUCAUCUUGUUUGGCUUUGACAUGGAAAUAAACUACCAUGCAAUCCCAAACCUGUGUCUGCACAAUGCACGUGUGUGUGUUGUGACUAUUACAUUAAUUCCUUCUAAUGCAGUUCAAAAGAAAUCAUGUGGGAAAA